UGGAACGUUCCUUCUUGCUUUCACUAACUUUCAAAUAUAUAUCUAUUUCAUUUUAAGUGCACACUAAUUCAGGGAGUUCAGGAACAGAAAACAAACGGCUAUUAUCUGUGUGUAGACCGGGACUUACCAGUUUAGCUUUGCUGUAGUGUUCGGGGUAUUCGUGAGCUUAGUCUAAUAAAUAUAUACAUUAUUGUGUACGAAACAUUUGCAUUAACAUUACGAUUUUUAAAAAGUUACUCUUAUACAAUUCAGCAAUAUCUUUUCAAGAUUGAUCAAAACGAUCCAUCAGCCUAAGAAAAGUUUGUGAAACUUUUACUGCAAAAAUUAUACAGACAUUAAGCCAUACAUAUAUCAAGAUACUAAUUACUAUCAAGAAAAAUGACUUUACCUAACAAUAUUGGUGACUGGGUGGAAUUCAUUCUCUUGCUAUUAGAAAUAUGUAUCUUUUUCUUCGCAAAUGACAAAGUUUAUACAUGUAUAAAUGAAAAUAUGACAUCACCAACAAAUACUUCAUCAACAAUUACUUCAGAUAGAUACAGCAAUACAACAAAUUUAGAUCAGAAAAGUAUAAUUAAAUAUUUGGAACUGUUACAAAUUACUGAUUCGUCUGAUUGUUUAAUUUUGCUCUCUACACGUAUUGGAUUUUGUGUGCUCAUAAUGGUAUUUGAAUGGAAAUAUUUAAGACAGUUUGGCGUCUAGAUAGCAGUAGAGAUGCACCGCCGGAUACGCUGGAUACGUCGAAUAUGUUGGAUACGCCGUAUUAGUAUUUUAAAAGUCGAUAAAUAAUGUCGUUUGAAUCAGUCAGAUGACGUAUGCUGUCUUUCUAAUGUGCAUUUCCCCCCUUUUUAAUAUAUGUAUUUUUCAUGUAUAAAUAUUUAUUGCUGUUUGAGCGUGGCUGAAUAAAGAUUAUUUUUUAUCUCUAUCAAA